GCGUCAGUUAGUGUAACGGAUAAAGCACGCGCUCCUGGAUAGAGCGAGAUGUGGGUUUGAGUCCCGCCUGACGCG